rnacentral:rRNA from 1 species
UGCCAGCCGCCGCGGUAAUACGUAGGGGGUUAGCGUUGUUCGGAAUUACUGGGCGUAAAGCGCGCGUAGGCGGCGUAUCGAGUUAGAGGUGAAAGGCCUGGGCUCAACCUGGGAACUGCCUUUAAUACUGGUAUGCUAGAGUCCGGGAGGGGGUGGCGGAAUUCCCAGUGUAGAGGUGAAAUUCGUAGAUAUCGGGAAGAACACCAGUGGCGAAGGCGGCUCACUGGCCCGAUACUGACGCUGAGGUGCGAAUGCGUGGGGAGCAAACAGGAUUAGAUA